rnacentral:rRNA from 1 species
AACGAACGCUGGCGGCAGGCUUAACACAUGCAAGUCGAGCGCCCCGCAAGGGGAGCGGCAGACGGGUGAGUAACGCGUGGGAAUCUACCCAUCUCUACGGAAUAACGCAUGGAAACGUGUGCUAAUACCGUAUACGUCCUUCGGGAGAAAGAUUUAUCUGAGAUGGAUGAGCCCGCGUUGGAUUAGCUAGUUGGUGGGGUAAAGGCCUACCAAGGCGACGAUCCAUAGCUGGUCUGAGAGGAUGAUCAGCCACACUGGGACUGAGACACGGCCCAGACUCCUACUGGAGGAAGCAGUGGGGAGUAUUGGACAAUGGGCGCAAGCCGGAUCCAGCCAUGCCUCGUGAGUGGUGAAGGCCCUAGGGUUUUAAAGCUCGGUCACCGGUGAAGAUAAUGACGGUAACCGGAGAAGAAGCCCCGGCUAACUUCGUGCCAGCCGCCGCCGUAAUAC